rnacentral:rRNA from 1 species
GAUGAACGCUGGCGGCGUGCCUAAUACAUGCAAGUCGAGCGAACAGACGAGGAGCUUGCUCCUCUGACGUUAGCGGCGGACGGGUGAGUAACACGUGGAUAACCUACCUAUAAGACUGGGAUAACUUCGGGAAACCGGAGCUAAUACCGGAUAAUAUAUUGAACCGCAUGGUUCAAUAGUGAAAGACGGUUUUGCUGUCACUUAUAGAUGGAUCCGCGCCGCAUUAGCUAGUUGGUAAGGUAACGGCUUACCAAGGCAACGAUGCGUAGCCGACAUGAGAGGGUGAUCGGCCACACUGGAACUGAGACACGGUCCAGACUCCUACGGGAGGCAGCAGUAGGGAAUCUUCCGCAAUGGGCGAAAGCUUGACGGAGCAACGCCGCGUGGGUGAUGAAGGUCUUCGGAUCGUAAAACUCUGUUAUUAGGGAAGAACAAAUGUGUAAGUAACUAUGCACGUCUUGACGGUACCUAAUCAGAAAGCCACGGCUAACUACGUG